GAUGAACGCUGGCGGCGUGCCUAAUACAUGCAAGUCGAGCGAACAGACGAGGAGCUUGCUCCUCUGACGUUAGCGGCGGACGGGUGCGUCACACGUGGAUAACCUACCUAUCAGACUGGGAUAACAUCGGCAAACCGGAGCUAAUAACGGAUAAUAUAUUGACCUGCAUGGUUCAAUAGUGAAAGACGGUUUUGCUGUCACUUAUAGCUUGAUCCGGACCGCAUUAGCUAGUUGGUAAGGUAACGGCUUACCAAGGCUACGAUGGGUAACCGACCUAAGAGGGUGAUCGGCCAGACUGGAACUGAGACACGGUCCCGACUCCUACGGGAGGCAGCAGUAGGGAAUCUUCCGCAAGGGGGGAAAGCCUGACGGAGCAACGCGGCGUGAGUGAUGAAGGUCUUCGGAUCGGAAAACUCUGUUAGUAGGGAAGAACAAAUGUGUAAGUAACUAUGCACGUCUUGACGGUACCGAAUCAGAAAGCCACGGCUAACUACGUG
rnacentral:rRNA from 1 species